UCUCCGUUCACCUUUUUUUGUGGUUAAUAAUAUUAAUCUUUAGUUACAAUUUCUCAUUCAAGCUACAUAAUAGGCAGAAUUGUCGGAUUAAGACAGUAGCGUGUUUUGAGGGAGAUCUGGCUGCUAUUUUUACCAGGUCUAGCUACCAUGUAGAGGUUUUCCU